UACGAGGGGGGCGAGCGUUGUUCGGAAUUAUUGGGCGUAAAGGGUGCGUAGGCGGCGGAGUAAGUUGGGUGUGAAAUCCCGGGGCUUAACCUCGGAAUUGCAUUCAAUACUGCUUCGCUUGAGUACUGGAGAGGAGGCUGGAAUUUACGGUGUAGCAGUGAAAUGCGUAGAUAUCGUAAGGAAGGCCGGUGGCGAAAGCGAGCCUCUGGACAGUUACUGACGCUGAUGCACGAAGGCCAGGGGAGCAAACGGG
rnacentral:rRNA from 1 species